AACGAACGCUGGCGGCAUGCCUAACACAUGCAAGUCGAACGAGACCUUCGGGUCUAGUGGCGCACGGGUGAGUAACGCGUGGGAACAUGCCCUUAGGUUCGGAAUAACUCCCCGAAAGGGGUGCUAAUACCGGAUAAUGUCUUCGGACCAAAGAUUUAUCGCCUUUGGAUGGGCCCGCGUUGGAUUAGCUAGUUGGUAGGGUAAAAGCCUACCAAGGCGACGAUCCAUAGCUGGUCUGAGAGGAUGAUCAGCCACACUGGGACUGAGACACGGCCCAGACUCCUACGGGAGGCAGCAGUGGGGAAUAUUGUACAGUGGGCGAAAGCCUGAUCCAGCAAUGCCACGUGAAUGAUGAAGGCCUUAGGGUUGUAAAGCUCUUUUACCCGGGAUGAUAAUGACAGUACCGGGAGAAUAAGCUCCGGCUAACUCCGUG
rnacentral:rRNA from 1 species